ACCAUCUAACACCGCCCUUUUACAAUAUGAGAUGAACUCAUGGUUGUGUAGGAGGGUCCAGGCUGGGGCCGGGACAGUCUGAACGUGUCUGGACAGUGCCCCUCCUCCAGAGCGAGAUGGAUCUCGGGCAGGCUCCCUUACCGCAGCGCAGCGGCCCCCCUCCUGCGCCCGUAAGGUUUACAGAUACUCCAAGCACAGCAGACAGCAAAGAUGUGCCUUGCUGGAAUCCAGAGAGCUUCUUAAUGUGGCAGCCGCUUGCUGAAAGCCCUGCAGAUACAAAACAACACUUAUUUUAAGUCUUGAGAAACUUCUUCUACUAAGUAGAAGAAAAAAGCAUUAAGGACAAGAAAGUCUGGAAUCGAGUCCUUACUUUAAGAACAAAAAUCUGGUUGAGAGUCCCAUAUAAUCACGUAGCUCCAGACAUGGGGUGUUGAAAAAUAAAGCCCCUUUCAUAAGAA